rnacentral:rRNA from 1 species
CGGCGGCCAGUGAAGCGGCUAGAGCUCAGAUUUGGAAUCGUGUUUCGGCACGAGUUGUAAAUUGCAGGUUGGAGUCUUUGUGGAAGCGUGUGUCCAAGUCCCUUGGAACAGGGCGCCAUUGAGGGUGAGAGCCCCGUGGGAUGCGCGCGGAAGCAACAAGGCCCUUCUGACGAGUCGAGUUGUUUGGGAAUGCAGCUCUAAGCGGGUGGUAAAUUCCAUCUAAGGCUAAAUACUGGCGAGAGACCGAUAGCGAACAAGUACUGUGAAGGAAAGAUGAAAAGCACUUUGAAAAGAGAGUGAAACAGCACGUGAAAUUGUUGAAAGGGAAGGGUAUUGGGCCCGACAUGGGGAUUGCGCAUCUCUGCUCCUUGUGGGCGGGGCGCUGUGCUUUUCCUGGGCCAGCAUCGGUUUUUGCCGCAGGAGAAGGGGUACUGGAAUGUGGCUCCUCGGAGUGUUAUAGCCAGUGCCAGAUGCUGCGUGCGGGGACCGAGGGCUGCGACAUCUGUCUCGGAUGCUGGCACAACGGCGCAAUACCGCCCGUCUUGAAACACGGAC